rnacentral:rRNA from 1 species
AUACGUAGGGUGCGAGCGUUGUCCGGAAUUACCGGGCGUAAAGAGCUCGUAGGUGGUUUGUCGCGUCGUCUGUGAAAUUCCGGGGCUUAACUCCGGGCGUGCAGGCGAUACGGGCAUAACUUGAGUACUGUAGGGGAGACUGGAAUUCCUGGUGUAGCGGUGAAAUGCGCAGAUAUCAGGAGGAACACCGGUGGCGAAGGCGGGUCUCUGGGCAGUAACUGACGCUGAGGAGCGAAAGCAUGGGUAGCGAACAGGAUUAGAUACCCUGGUAGUCCAUGCCGUAAACGGUGGGCGCUAGGUGUAGGGGUCUUCCACGACUUCUGUGCCGUAGCUAACGCAUUAAGCGCCCCGCCUGGGGAGUACGGCCGCAAGGCUAAAACUCAAAUGAAUUGACGGGG